AGCCUCAAGAGCUGAUCUGGUUCAUCCUUGGUGGGUUUAGCUCAGCUUUGGUUGAUCCCUGUUUGAGUCCAUCCCAGUUUUGUUGGGUUUAUCCCAGGUUUUGGUUAAUCCCAGGUUUUGGUUUAUCCCAGGUUUUGGUUAAUCCAAAUUUUGUUUGGUUUAUUCUUGGUUUUGGUUUAUCCCUGGUUUUGGUUAAUCCCAGUUUUGUUGGAUUUCUCCCUGGUUUUGGUUUAUCCCUGGUUUUGGUUUAUCCCAGUUUUGUUGGGUUUAUCCCGGGUUUUGGUUUCUCCCUGGUUUUGGUUCAUCCCAGGUUUUGGUUUAUCCCUGGUUUUGGUUAACCCCAGGUUUUGGUUAAUCCCAGGUUUUGGUUUAUCCCUGGUUUUGGUUAAUCCCAGUUUUGUUGGAUUUCUCCCUGUUUUUGGUCCAUCCCUGGCUCUCCUGGGUUUAACCCUUUAGGGUUUCUCCCUGGUUUUGGCCCAUCCCAGUUUUGUUGGAUUUUUGCCUCCUUGGCUCCGUCCCGCCGGAUUUUUCCCGGUUUCCGCGCGCCGGCCCC
rnacentral:lncRNA from 1 species